AAGUCGUAACAAGGUUUCCGUAGGUGAACCUGCGGAAGGAUCAUUAACACGUAUCCAACGUUAAAAACACCCCUGUGAACCCGUUAAACUUGCUCCUAUCAUUGUCUGACCAGUUUUUGAGUCAGGGACUUCUGACGUGACGCGAAGAAUGUCUGGAAAAAUGGCAUCUGCGUGAGAUGAAGCUAUGAGGUAAGAUGCACUUGUGCUCCCCAAGUACCCAUGUUUCUGAAAGCGGGACAUGGAAUACGUAAGGCUGUAACGUUUGCUGUAGGCCCACACGGCCGGCAUCAUGGUGCCUGGACUUCUGUCCCACAGAUCGGUGAAAUCCCGGUCAUGAUGUCAAUUUAGUGAGGACUAAAAGCCUCGCACCAAAAACCGAACAACUGUUAACAAUGGAUAUCUUGGUUCUC
rnacentral:misc_RNA from 1 species